rnacentral:rRNA from 1 species
AGUGAACGCUGGCGGUAGGCCUAACACAUGCAAGUCGAACGGCAGCACAGUAAGAGCUUGCUCUUACGGGUGGCGAGUGGCGGACGGGUGAGGAAUACAUCGGAAUCUACUUUUUCGUGGGGGAUAACGUAGGGAAACUUACGCUAAUACCGCAUACGACCUACGGGUGAAAGCAGGGGAUCUUCGGACCUUGCGCGAUUGAAUGAGCCGAUGUCGGAUUAGCUAGUUGGCGGGGUAAAGGCCCACCAAGGCGACGAUCCGUAGCUGGUCUGAGAGGAUGAUCAGCCACACUGGAACUGAGACACGGUCCAGACUCCUACGGGAGGCAGCAGUGGGGAAUAUUGGACAAUGGGCGCAAGCCUGAUCCAGCAAUACCGCGUGGGUGAAGAAGGCCUUCGGGUUGUAAAGCCCUUUUGUUGGGAAAGAAAAGCAGCAGGUGAAUACCCCGAUGUUCUGACGGUACCCAAAGAAUAAGCACCGGCUAACUUCGUG